UACAGAGGCCUCGAGCGUUAGGCGGAAUCACUGGGCUUAAAGCGCGUGUAGGCGGAUCGUUAAGUGUCUUGUGAAAUCCCACGGCUCAACCGUGGAACUGCUGGGCAUACUGGCGAUCUUGGGCCACUCAGGGGCGACCGGAACAAGCGGUGGAGCGGUGAAAUGCGUAGAGAUGUGGAGGAACACCGAUGGCGAAGGCAGCCUUCUGGGCCAACACUGACGCUCAUGCACGAAAGCGUGGGGAGCAAACAGG
rnacentral:rRNA from 1 species